rnacentral:rRNA from 1 species
UACGUAGGUGGCAAGCGUUUGUCCGGAAUUAUUGGGCGUAAAGCGCGCGCAGGCGGUCCUUUAAGUCUGAUGUGAAAGCCCACGGCUCAACCGUGGAGGGUCAUUGGAAACUGGGGGACUUGAGCGCAGGAGAGAAGAGUGGAAUUCCACGUGUAGCGGUGAAAUGCGUAGAGAUGUGGAGGAACACCAGUGGCGAAGGCGACUCUUUGGCCUGUAACUGACGCUGAGGCG